rnacentral:rRNA from 1 species
GACGAACGCUGGCGGCGUGCUUAACACAUGCAAGUCGAGCGGUAAGGCCCUUUCGGGGGUACACGAGCGGCGAACGGGUGAGUAACACGUGGGUGACCUGCCCUCAGCUCUGGGAUAAGCCUGGGAAACUGGGUCUAAUACUGGAUAUGACUCCACGGUGCAUGUCGUGGGGUGGAAAGCCUUGUGCGGCUGAGGAUGGGCCCGCGGCCUAUCAGCUUGUUGGUGGGGGAUGGCCUACCAAGGCGACGACGGGUAGCCGGCCUGAGAGGGCGACCGGCCACACUGGGACUGAGACACGGCCCAGACUCCUACGGGAGGCAGCAGUGGGGAAUCUUGCGCAAUGGGCGAAAGCCU